UUUCCAACGUGCUAUUGCCAUAACCUGAAUUUCUUGCAGAGCAUCUUCGAGAAUUUCCCUGAUCUCGUUGCGAUCCAAUUUCAAAUUAUUUCUUAGGUUAAAAGACUGAGGAUCAUGACUUGGGAAUACUAAACCCGGUGAUGAUUCCAGUGCCGUGCAAUGAUGUGCAUCUAACUCACUUAGAUUGCAUGGAAGCUUUGGUAAGGAUUGAAGCCUCUCACAAUAACUCAAUUUAAGAUAUGCCAACUUAGAAAGAUGUAUGAUGCUCUCUGGUAUUCUCUCAAAAUUGUUUUUCUCUAGAUACAAUUCACGUAACAAGGAUAACUGACCGAGAUUUUCAGGUAACUCCGUGAUGCCGCAAUCAGUUAGAUAUAAAGACGUCAGAUUUUGCAAGCCAUCAAAAUUGUUCAAACCAACAAUGGACAACGGCACUUCUCUUAUAGCAGUUCCUUCAGCAAUCAAACUGUCCAAAGCUUCUAAAUUUCCAAGUUCAUCAGGCAAACUCUUAAGACUUGAGCACCACCUGAGAUAAAUAAAGCUCAGAGAGUUCAAUUUACAUAGGCUGCUUGGGAGACUCUUCAGCCUUUUACAAUUAUCAAGGUAUAAGGCCGAAAGCCGAGACAGACAUUCUAUGGAUGAAGGCAGUUCUUCAAUUGCAGUUCCAUUUAAAUACAUCACUUCUAUAUUACCAGCUGAUGAUAUCUCUGGAAGCGUUUUUAGUUUUGAGCAGCCCCAAAGAUCAAGUUCUUUAAGAAAUUCCAAACGAAAUAUUCCAGCUGGAAGAAUUCUCAAGCUUUUGCAAUUGUUUAGAUUGAGGUUAACUAGCUUGUCCAGAUGCAGGGUCAACGAGUGGUUUGGAGAUUUGGUGAAAAAAUUGCAGGCCCGGCUUAUUAUCUGCUUUAACUUACCAUUAUGCUGCUCCAAAAAAAUUAGAAGCCCAGACAUACAAAUUGUUAGCAUUUAAGUACGAUAAAUAAUUAAACAUUAUUACUGAAACAUUGCAUAAAUAUUAAGAUUUUAUAUACCUCGACAUCAUCCCAAAGUUGUUGAAUAUUACCAUGAGGCAUUUCAAUUGAAACAAGUUUCUCUGGAUGAAUAUUUGACGGCAAUGAUUUUAGUGGAUAUCCAUACCAGUGAAGAUACCUCACUUCAGCAAAUCCAGGUCCUACCAAAUAAGACACCUUACAUUUGUUCUCUCCAUCAUCUUUAGAGUUAUAGAAUUUCAAAAAUCUCAAUUUACACAUCUUUGUGAAAGUAUCUGGAUGCAGAUAGAUCUCUUUUAUUCUAGACAUAUCAAAACAGAUGCCCUCAACUUUUUUGGUCCCCUAACAAUCAAUGAAAGACCAGGAAGUUAAAUUCAAAUUUAAAUUAAUGUUCAAGUUAAUUGAAAGCCAACGUACAAAAGAAACAUUGUAAUACAAACAAUACUAAGCAUAUAAAGUAUCCAUGAAGUAUGGACAUGCCUAUGUACGAAAGAAACAUAGUAAUACGAACAAUACUAAACAUAUAAAGUAUCUAUGUUUGUUUGCCAUACUUUUAGAUGUAAAUUGACAUUGUAACGUAUCUCUGUCUGUUUGCCAGACUUUUAGUUGUAAAUUGACAUUGCAAUUUUUUUUUUCCUUUUUAUUAUUGCCAGUUCUUCUAUUGAUCUUAUAUUCCAUGUACUUAUACAUAAUUAUAAGUAAAGUUUACAAAUCCAAUAGCAUCUAUAUAUAUAUAUAUAUAUAUAUAUAUAUAUAAAGUUGGGGCUAUAAGAGUUGAUGUGGCAUCACCAUUUCUCAUCAUCUCAUAUUCUCUAUUAUCUAAUAAAUUGGUUGAAAUUAAAAAAUAAUUAUAUUACAAAAUAUUAAAAUAGAAAAUAAUUAUUAGAUUAUAAAUGAUUACAUGUCUUUUCCUCUUUCUAUUUAAAUUCAACAAUAUGUAACCAUUAAUAAUAAUUAAUUAUAAGUCUUGAAACAUUCAUUUAUUUUAUUAUGCCAACAAUUAAAUUUUAGUGGCUUAAAAUACAUCAAUUAAUUAAUAUAGGAAGGAAGGUUCCUUCAUCUUCCCUCAACAAUGCCAUUAGAGCCUAAUUUUAAUGUCAUAAUCUCAUAUUUAAUUAUUCAAUCUUUUGUUUAGUGCAUUUUGGCUUCUUCAAACUCCAUAAACAUUAAAUAUUUAAGAUUUGUGGCAUCAUUAUUUCUCAUCUUUUUAUAUUCUCUAUUAUCUAACAUAUUGGUUGAGAUUAAAAAAUAAUUACAUUACAAAAUAUUAAUUACAUUACAAAAUAUUAAUAUAUAUAUAUAUAUAUAUAUAUAUAAAGUUGGGACUAGAGGAGGUGAUGUGGCAUCACUAUUUCUCAUCUUCUUGUAUUCUCUAUUAUCUAAUAAAUUGGUUGAUAUUAAAAAAAUAAUUACAUUACAAAAUAUUAAAAAUAAAAAAUAAUUAUUAGAUUAUAAAAUAUUACAUGUCUCUUUCUAUUUAAAUUCAAUAAUAUGUAACCAUUAAUAAUAAUUAAUUAUAAGUCUUCAAACAUUAAUUUAUUUUAUUAUGCCAACAAUUAAACUUUAGUGGCUUAAAUAUAUCAAUUAAUUAAUAUAGGAAGGAAUGUUCCUUCAUCUUCCCUCAACAAUGCCAUUAGGGUCUAAUUUUAAUUCUAUAAUCUCAUAUGUAAUUAUGCAACCUUUUGUUUAGUGCCUUUUGGCUUCUUCAAACUCUAUAAAUAUUAAGUAGUUAAGAUUUGUGGCAUUAUUAUUUCUCAUCUUUUUAUAUUCUCUAUUAUCUAAUAUAUUGGUUGAGAUUAAAAAAUAAUUACAUUACAAAAUAUAAAAAUAGAAAAUAAUUAGUAGAUUAUAAAAUAUUACAUGUCUCUUCUUCUUUUUAUUUAAAUUUAACAAUAUGUAACCAUUAAUAAUAAAUUAAUUAUAGUUUUGAAACAUUCAUUUAUUUUAUUAAGUCAACAACUAAACUUUAGUGGUUUAAAAUACAUCAACUAAUUAAUAUAGGAAGGAAUGUUCCUUCAUCUUCCCUCACCAAUGCCACUAGGACCUAAUAUUAAUGCCAUAAUCUCAUAUUUAAUUAUGCAACAUUUUAUUUAGUGUCUUUUGGCUUCUUCAAACUCUAUAAAUAUUAAGUAUUUAAGAUUUGUUAUGGUUGGAUUUUUUUUUAUUAUUUAACCAACAUCCUCUUUAGAAAUGUUUUUGUGUUUUUAUUUUUUAACUUAUUUAAAUUUUUUGUAUUGUGUGCUUCAUGGAGUAUUCUUUUCUUUAUGAGUUAAACAAUGAUAAAGAUAGUUGGAUCAUAAGUGUUAGACUUUGUAAGAUGUGGGAGUCUGUUAAUACAAAAAAGAAUGGAGAGUUGAUUAGUGUGAACAUAAUUUUUAUUGAUGAAAAGGUUGUGUACACUUAACUAUACACAUUAAUAUAUAUUUUUAAAGUUAACAACAAAAUAAUUAACUUUAAAAAAUAACAUUAGUUUUAUAAGGCUGUGUCAUCUUUAAAAAAAAAUCAAUUCAUAUUUUUUAUCAAUUUCAUCAAGUGCAAAGUAAUAAAAAAAAGAUAAUACUAAAUUCUUUUUUUAAAGCCGCACGAAGUGCGGUUCUAUUUACUAGUUCACAAAUAAUAUAAAGUCUCAAACAAAAUGCUUACCGUAUUAAAGGUCAAAACUUCAAUAAUAUCCUCAUGGUGCCACAGCCGACUGCGUUCUCCUGGAUUUUUCACAGAUUCUUGCCUGACAAUUUCCCUACCCAUUUCUUGUAACAGAUCAUGCAUUGUUAUUUUGUUGUCGUGUAUGACAAUAAGGGACUUAUUGACAAGAUCACUUAUUCCUAUUUGUGCAUCAAAGCCACAAGCAUUAAGAAAUUUUAUAAUGAAGUCUUUAUCUUUCCCUUUAAAGAAACAAACAAUGUCUAGAAAAAUAUCUUUCUCUUCAUCAUCCAGAUCAUCGAAACUUACUUUUAGCACAUUUUGUAUCUCCACAUUAGGAAUUCUUUUCAAUUUGUUUAUUGCGCUUUCCCAAACUUCCUUUUCCCUUCCAAAUAGAUAGCAACCCAAAAUUUCCAGUGCUAAAGGAACACCUUGAGCAUAAUUUAUUACAACCUGUGACAAGUCCUUAUAACCUACUUCAGGAGGACAGUUUUGUUUGAAGGCAUGUCGACUAAAAAGCUCAAGGGCAUGAUCGUGUUCUAAUUCUUUCAUCUCAAAAAUGUCUCUCUCUUUCACAACCCAAUUUUUAAGGACUUGCUGAUCUCUUGUGGUCAGUAUGAGACGACUUUCAGGCAGAAACCAAUCAGAAACUCUGAUGAAGGAUUUUAUUUGGCUGAAGCUAGUCACAUCAUCGAGAACAAUCAGAACCUUCCUGCGGCUGAGCCUCCUAAAGUUGAAGUCAAUAUGAGGAAUCACAUUUACAUCCUUCAAUACUUCGUUAAAAAGUUUUUGCUGCAACCUAGCUAAUCCACCAGGGCUCUGCGAUUCUUCUCUUACAUUUUGAAGGAAGCAAGAACCUUCAAAAUUUCUGGAGAUUUUGUUGAAAAUCACCCUAGCAAUUGUUGUCUUGCCUAUGCCACCGAUGCCCCAAAUCCCUAAUAUAGGUGCAGCAGCUAAUAGAGAUUCAAUCUCCUCAACUCUUGAUUCUACUCCAACUAGCCGAUUUUUGUUAUCAAAUGGAACCACUUUAGGCAGCCUCUCCAAAAUCUCAUCAACAACUGUCUUUAUAAGUUCAGAUUCAUUCCUAGCAAAUACAAGAAACAUAGUAUUAAGUUCAAAAAGAGACAAAAAGGAGAGUUUUUAAUUAGUUCGGAUUUGAGACAGAGUUUUUUGCUUUUAAAAUUAUUUAUAUAAUGCUAGCACUUGAGUAAAUAAAAAUAAUUAUAAAAUUGGUAAUAAAUUUACUGUUACCUGAAGACAUGAGAAUCAAAGCCAGAGAGAUUGGCUGCUUCAGUUAAAGCACUCCCCCAACUUUGCUUCUUGUCUGGAAAUCUUUUUUCAAGCUCCGAAAUUGAAACCCCAAAACUCCCAAUUUGCUUUCUCACAUGUGAUGGAUCGACCCGAUAAAAAACUGGUAUCACAAUCUGUGCAUACUUUUUCCUGCAAUCGAGGAUCUUUAGAAGUUCAUCGAGGCACCAUCUGGAAGAAGCAUACCCUUCAGAGAAUACGAUGACUGAUAUGCUUGAUGCUUCAAUUGCAUCAAGAAGAGACUGUGAGAUUUCAUUUCCUCUGACGAGUUGGUCAUCAAUGAAAGUUUCGAUAUUCGUUUCACACAAGGCUGAAUAAAGAUGGCUAGUAAAGCUAUCACGGGUUUCCUCUUCUCUGAAACUCAGGAAAACAUCAUACUUAUUGUUUCCAGGAUUAUUCAUCGAACUCAAACUGCUGGAUGGACGAGAAGAAGAAGAAGAAGAAGCCAUAACAACUUACAGAAACAAUUCAAUUGAUUAGAGAUUUUGAUGAUUAGAAAAUUGAUUUGGGAUAUGAUAAUAAUUUUGUAAAGUAGAUUACUAUCAGCUAUUUAUUGUUUUUCUUUUUUUAUUUUGUAAGUCAGAUUUAGUAUAUUUUGUUUUUUUUUAAUGUUGGAAUUUUAAUUUCUUAUUUUUAUUGGUAAAAUCCAGAAUUGAGUUUUGUAUGCGAAUUUUUUAGGCUAUGGUUAUAAAUUUAUAUUUGAAUCACUUAAUUUAAUUUUUUAUGUAUUAUUAAAAGUUUUUUUUAUAUAUAUUCGUGAUUUUAAAUGAGAAAACUUAUAAAAAAAAAUUUACUGGGCGCUAUAGGUUACUUUGUUGAUUGUUAAAUCUCGGUUCCCUGAUGUAAUUUUUAAGAGUAAUGAUAUAGCCACAAACUCUUGUACAAAUUUAUUUUGUAUAAACUGAUAUGGCAUGAUAAGAUUUGUUGAAUUAAAUAUCACUUAGCCCACAUGAUUUGUUUUUAUUAUUUUAUAUUUUCAUUCAACCAAUGAAUUAAUGCCACGUCAGUUUGUACAAAAUAAAUUUAUACAAGAAUUUGUGGCUGUAUCAUUACUUAAUUUUUAAACACCCGGUCCAAGUUUUUUAAUUCAGGUUUUUGUACCUCGUAUUUUGUACUUUUUUAUUAUUAUAUAUGUAUUUUUAUAAUUUUAUAAUUUUUAAAUUUAUUUCAAUGAAAUCGAACAUGAAAAUUUAAACUUCAAAUAUUUAAAACUUUAUCUAUAUGUAAUAGAUCAGUCAAAUAAAUAUAAAUAUUAAAAAUAAUAUAUAUUUUAUAAUACUUUUUUAAUAAAAUUUGGGUUUUGGGCCGGGUCUUGGGUUUAUAAAGUGAUACCCAAGACAAGUCUAGCUUCAUACCCAGGCUUAGCAUUAUCCAGCCCACAUCGCCAGAGUCCAGAUCGGACAAGUAUUUUUGCCACCCCUAAAACCCACAAUAGAUGGACUUUUUAAAAAAAAUAAAAAACCUACUGCCAAUUAUGGGUGAGUUUAGUAAUUUAUAAUUUUUAUGAAUGCGGGUUAAGUUGUAUUUAUUAGUUCACUACCUGCUCUAUUUAAUUUCUAUUGUAUUGUCUUCAUGUUGUUUUUUCCUGUGUUUGUAUCUCUAUAUCCUAAUUCAAAUUUUUUACCAUAGUCUAUAUAAUUUUUACAACCUACCUGUUUGACGAAAUGUCUCACUAAAUCUAUUGAGUACUAUAACCAGAGAUUAAUCAAGCGUUACCAAUGAAUUAUUCUGCUUUCACCAAAAAAGAAGCCAUUACAUGCAAAUCAGUAGCGUGUAUGAUAAUUAAAUAUUAUUGACAUUGCACACCUGAACGCUCUCCGAAAGUUGUUCAAUACUGCAACGAGGCAAUUCAAGGAAAACAAGUAUCUCCCUAUGAAUAUUUGAAGCCAAUGAUUUAUAUAUGGGAAGAAAAUAAUUAAAGAAAAGUAAUAAAACAGAUAGAAGGAAAAGAAACCAAGCUAGCAAAACAAGGUUUAUGAAUAAGAUUUAUUAAUUUACUGAUAGUAGCAGCUACUAUGAUGCCUUAAAGAAUACUUCAACCGAGAGUACUCCUUGGAUCUUCUGUGGGUUCCGUAGAAUCAGGGGCGUACAAUAAAUGAAUCCCACAUUUUUUCACCGGGCAACAAUCCAAACGUUCACGUUGAUUAUGAUCAUCCUCUAAAUAGAACUUGACUGCCACAUGAUCGCAGUUGUGUUUCUGGAAAGCACUAAAAUCAUGCUCACCAAAGAAAUAGUACCCCAAAAGUAAGUGAUCUGACUCUACAUAAUUAAAUCCCCUUAGAGAACUCCGUCUGACCAGUAGCUCAGUACAAUCUUCAGGUUUGGCUUUCAUGAAUUCACAGAACAAGUUAAACCACCUCUUCUCUUUGACAUGAUGGUCUCGAAAUCCUACAACAGCGCUGUAAGCAAAGCCAAUCACUUUGUUAUUACUGAACCAACCUACAGGUGGCAUCUUCAAGGUUAUAGAAGAAGAUCCCAAACUUUGAAAGCUAAACCACUUUGGAAUUUCAUUCCCAGGUAAUAAUACUCGACCUGAACUUUGGAAAAAAUCUCCCUGUACCAAAGAUCAUAAUUUUGAAGAAAUGUUGUUAAAUUUAAUUUUAAAUAAAAAAUUAACAAAAUAGCAUUGGAACGAUGAUCUAGUGAGCACUAGUGCCCACCAUAUGGAUGAGCAUUUGGAUAUGUGGCAGAAUUCUACAACUCCCAGUGAAUAGCGUUAAGGCUGUGGAUUAAUUAAGCAAUGCGAUGUGCCACUCUCGCUCUCCAUAAGAUGAGCACUAUCGCCCACUAGAUCAUUACUCAAUAACAUUGUAUAGAUUAAAAGGAUCAUAAAAGACACAACAUACCUUUUCCUGUAAUUGUUUCCAACGUGCUAUUGCCAUAACCUGAAUUUCUUGCUGAGCGUCUUCGAGAAUUUCCCUGAUCUCGUUGCGAUCCAAUUUCAAAUUAUUUCUUAGGUCAAAAUACUGAGGAUCACGACUUGGGAAUACUAAACCUGGAGAUGAUUCCAGUGCUGUGCAAUGAUGUGCAUCUAACUCACUUAGAUUGCAUGGAAGCUUUGGUAAGGAUUGAAGCCUCUCACAAUAACUCAAUUUAAGAUAUGCCAACUUAGAAAGAUGUAUGAUGCUCUCUGGUAUUCUCUCAAAAUUGUUUUUCUCUAGAUACAAUUCAAGUAAUAAGGAUAACUGACCGAGAUUCUCAGGUAACUCCGUGAUGCCGCAAUUAGUUAGAUAUAAAGACGUUAGAUUUUGCAAGCCAUCAAAAUUGUUCAAACGAACAAUGGACAACGGCACUUCUCUUAUAGCAGUUCCUUCAGCAUUCAAACUGUUCAAAGCUUCUAAAUUUCCAAGUUCAUCGGGCAAACUCUUAAGACUUGAGCACCAUCUGAGAUAAAUAGAAUUCAGAGAUUUCAACUUACAUAGGCUGCUUGGGAGACUCUUCAGCCUUUUACAAUGAUCAAGGUAUAAGGCCGAAAGCCCAGAUAGACAUUCUAUGGAUGAAGGCAGUUCUUCAAUUGCAGUUCCAUUUAAAUACAUCACUUCUAUAUUACC
rnacentral:lncRNA from 1 species